GACGAACGCUGGCGGCGCGCCUAACACAUGCAAGUCGAACGAGCGAGAGAGAGCUUGCUUUCUCGAGCGAGUGGCGAACGGGUGAGUAACGCGUGAGGAACCUGCCUCAAAGAGGGGGACAACAGUUGGAAACGACUGCUAAUACCGCAUAAGCCCACGGGUCGGCAUCGACCAGAGGGAAAAGGAGCAAUCCGCUUUGAGAUGGCCUCGCGUCCGAUUAGCUAGUUGGUGAGGUAACGGCCCACCAAGGCAACGAUCGGUAGCCGGACUGAGAGGUUGAACGGCCACAUUGGGACUGAGACACGGCCCAGACUCCUACGGGAGGCAGCAGUGGGGAAUAUUGCACAAUGGGGGAAACCCUGAUGCAGCGACGCCGCGUGGAGGAAGAAGGUCUUCGGAUUGUAAACUCCUGUUGUUGGGGAAGAUAAUGACGGUACCCAACAAGGAAGUGACGGCUAACUACGU
rnacentral:rRNA from 1 species